AAAAGAAAGAAGAGAGAGAGGAGGUGGCCGAAUAAGGGAAGAAAAAGGAGGAAGGAGAACCACCAUUUUUCAACUUAAAUUUUCACUCCAAAUCAAGUAGUUCCAAAGGAGCAAGGUGGAAGUGUUGACUUAGGAACCAAAUCCACAUAAAUUGGAAAUAAACAGAUGAUACACUGGUGUUUGGAUGGAUGUGAUCUGGAUACCAUGAUAUGUGCGCAUUGAUAUGAUAUGGUCUCUCUCAUGUAAGAGUUGAAAAAGAGACUGAGAAGGAAGAUAAGAAAAAAUGAGUCAAGGCCUAGAGGUGACUCAUUCCAGGUUUGUGCACAAUAAACUUUAAUUUAUCAUUUUCUAAUUGAAAACUUAUUUAGCUAUGCAUUGUGAAUUAAUUGUACUAAUUAUGGGUUUCGAGAAAUGUUGUGUUGCCAUUUUAUGAAUGGAAAUUGGAAUUGGAAAUUGAUUUGUGUUUUGUGUGAAAUGUUUGAAUAACUUGAUUUAAAUUGGAUUCACACUUAGCAUGACAGUAUCAUUAUAUUCCUCCUCCGUUUACGGGGUUGAGAUCGACUAUAUUCCUCCCUCUCUAGCUUGCCAGUUGAGGUCGCGAUCGGAUGAGUACUCAUAUAGCUAGCUAGCCACCUCCCUCAUUGAUUUCGAUUAGUGGCGUUGAGAUUGCUUUGUCGUGGUGUACAACACGGCAUUGAUUGGAAAUUUUGUGUCAUGACCUAAGUUGUGUAUGGAUUAGCAACACUGUGCUUUAUAAAUUAUUUGACAAAAUGGUAUUAUAAAUGUGAUUUGAAAUUUGUGAAAUGUGAUUAUGAAAGGCUUUGAAUUACUGUUUAUCGAUAAAUAUUUUAUUUUUCGCAUCUUUAAAUUUUUAUUGUGCACCACUGAGUAAACAAUACUCAGCAAUAGCUUUAUUUGCUGUCGUAGAUAAGGGAAAAGAAAAAGCAGCAAAGUGAGCUGCUAAGUUGACAAAGACUCCACUGAAGUUUUUGUAUGGGUAUUAUUUUAUGCCCAUGUAAUUUAGUUUGAUGUAAAUAUGAUAUUGUUUAAAUGUAUCUAUGUAGGAAAUGAGCAGUUGUACACUUAAAUCUGUAAUAAUAUUAUUUUUGAAUUUUG